rnacentral:rRNA from 1 species
GACGAACGCUGGCGGCGUGCUUAACACAUGCGAGUCGAACGGAAAGGCCCUGCUUUUGUGGGGUGCUCGAGUGGCGAACGGGUGAGUAACACGUGAGUAACCUGCCCUUGACUUUGGGAUAACUUCAGGAAACUGGGGCUAAUACCGGAUAGGAGCUCCUGCUGCAUGGUGGGGGUUGGAAAGUUUCGGCGGUUGGGGAUGGACUCGCGGCUUAUCAGCUUGUUGGUGGGGUAGUGGCUUACCAAGGCUUUGACGGGUAGCCGGCCUGAGAGGGUGACCGGCCACAUUGGGACUGAGAUACGGCCCAGACUCCUACGGGAGGCAGCAGUGGGGAAUAUUGCACAAUGGGCGGGAGCCCGAUGCAGCAACGCCGCGUGCGGGAUGACGGCCUUCGGGUUGUAAACCGCUUUCGCCUGUGACGAAGCGUGAGUGACGGUAAUGGGUAAAGAAGCACCGGCUAACUACGUG